AUUGAACGCUGGCGGCACGCUUUACACAUGCAAGUCGAACGGUAACAGGGUGCUUGCACCGCUGACGAGUGGCGAACGGGUGAGUAAUGCGUCGGAACGUGCCGAGUAGUGGGGGAUAACGCAGCGAAAGUUGUGCUAAUACCGCAUACGUACUGAGGUAGAAAGUGGGGGACCUUCGGGCCUCACGCUAUUCGAGCGGCCGACGUCUGAUUAGCUAGUAGGUGAGGUAAAGGCUCACCUAGGCGACGAUCAGUAACGGGUCUGAGAGGAUGAUCCGCCACACUGGGACGGAGACACGGCCCAGACUCCUACGGGAGGCAGCAGUGGGGAAUUUUGGACAAUGGGCGAAAGCCUGAUCCAGCCAUGCCGCGUGUCUGAAGAAGGCCUUCGGGUUGCAAAGGACUUUUGUCAGGGAGGAAAUCCCUAGUGCUAAUAACACUGGGGGAUGACAGUACCUGAAGAAUAAGCACCGGCUAACUACGUGCCAGCCGCCGCCGUAA
rnacentral:rRNA from 1 species